GGGUCGGGCCGGGGGGCGAGAGGGUGCCAGCGGCCGCAGCUGAAGUUGGGCCGAGAGCCGGCGACGGCCCCGCGCCGGGGUCGCAGGUGACGCGCGAGGGAUCCCAGGCCUGCAGGAGUUGAGGGCUGCACCUGCUCGCUGGAGAGGGAGAGGCAGAUUUAGUGGACGCCUGGCAUGGACUCGGACUGGCCUUUGGAAGCUCCCUGCCCUGACGGGGUUGCCUGUCACCACUGCGAAGUGAGGCUUGGCAGGACCUGCACCUGAGAAAGGCUGUGUGUGGUCUUGGGGUCCACACCUGCAGAGCUAACUUACUGCCAGACGGCGACUUACUGUGGGCCACCCUCAGUGAACCGGGGUGUCCUCAGCUGGCCCUACAGAGCACUUCUGUGCUGGGGAUGAGUAGGAACUCUGGGCGAGGAGGGUCCCAGCGCCGCCCCUCGAUACAGCCUGGCUCUGCCCUCUGCCCGUACUUACACCAGGUGGGAUCCCUGCCCUGCAUUGCCUGGGGAUUGGCUGGGCUUGGGCCCGCCCUGCUGUGGAACUGGAUGUUUUCAGGGAGCCCAGCCUUUCCUCAUGUCAACACAGUUCACAAUAUAGUUUUCAAAGUACAGUUUAAAACUCAAAAGUAAACUUUUCAGCAACUCAAA
rnacentral:lncRNA from 1 species